rfam:Glossina palpalis gambiensis isolate 146720 unplaced genomic scaffold Scaffold404, whole genome shotgun sequence.
UUAGCCGGAGCUAUGAGCCGCGCUUGGUGGCGUUGGCAACAUAAGUACGUGCAACCAAAGCGGGCUGGUAUCGCACCAUUUUUCCAAAUAACUGUUGCGGCUAUGACUUUCUUCUAUGUCAUCAAUUAUGGCAAAAUGAGACAUCACAGGAACUAUAA